rfam:Dipodomys ordii contig_70646, whole genome shotgun sequence.
GGUGGCUCAGUGGUAGAGCAAUUGCCUUGUAUGCAUAAGGCCCUGGGUUCGAUUCCUCAGCACCA